rnacentral:lncRNA from 1 species
CAUGUAUAAUAUCAAUUACCUAGACUCAGCUUAAACAAAUGCCUCCACAAAAUUUAGGUUCAGAGUAAAUUCUUAUAUUAAAGUGGUCAUGUCUAAAACUCAGGAGAAUUCAUGAUUGAAAACUAGGCACUUGAAAGGAAUUACUGUAGAGCAACUAUUCAUCAUCUCCAAAAGAAAAUUUUAAUAUUUUCUAAUUUUUAUUUGACUCUAAACUAGACUGACUAUAGACACACUCUAUGAUCACACCUUAAUAUAUAGAUAAGUAUUUUGUUUUUUAUUUUAAAUUAUUAUUCAUCUUUUUAUUUCUAUUGGACUCAGAAGACUCUAAAGAUAUGGAUCUUCAUGUGCCCAUAUAUUUUUGGUAUUUCAUGACUAUAUAAAAUAGACUUGAUAAUCGCCUAGGUAUAGUUACCUGAUAACUAGGGGAUGCUCCUCCCCCAAGCUAGAUAUUUGCAAUAGUUGGUGUUGAUGAUCUUCAGAGUGAGCUAACCGGCAGCGCUCCAGGUGGGUGCCACAAAUAGACUCUCUUCUUGUCAUAAUGUUGUUCCUACAUAAAGGAAACCAAAACUUGAGCCUCGAAUUUGUUAAUGGGUUAGCGGUCAGCCAAAGAGUAACUGAUCACCUUUAAGAGCUAGCUUUAAUGUUGUCUAAUUUAAACAGGAUUUCAAUUUUCUCUUAUUUUUUAAUUUUCUAUUUAUGAGGCAGGAAAUUAAAUGUUAUAUUUUGUCAUUUUUAUUUUUUGCCACCACAGCGGAUGUUCCUUCAGAAGCCACCAUAGGGUAUCCACAUGGGGCUUGUGAUGCCAUGAGUAAUGCAGUAAAUAUUUUUUUAUAUUUUUUAGUGUGUAAACAAAAUUAUGCUACUAAAUAAAUUAUAAAUGCAUUCAAAGAGAUAACUACCAUUCUAACCUCAUGGCUAGGGUACAGAAUUUAAAGUCUACCGACAGGACUUAGAUAGAGGAGAACACUUACUCAGUGGGUUCAUCGUCUGAAGUAAUCUCAGUCAACUCCCCGUUUCGUGGUGAUGCCACAGGUGCCUUCUUCCAUCUCGCCUCUGUGUCUUUUGCUUCUCUCUUUUCUGGCUCCAGCUCUUCAACUUUAUUAUCUUUCUCCCUCGUUGAAGCUGAGUGGUUCUCAUGGAGGGUCUCAUGCUUAUAAGAGCAAGUGUUUCCUGGAAUACUUCAAUUCCAUCACCCAAGAAGUUAUUUCAUUCAUACAGGAGUUAGCUGUAUGUCAGAAAUGUGUACUUCAAGUGAUGACGAUGAAGAUUCCUAGGUAAGCUGGCUCUUGGAGUCAUCCUAUAGAAAGAUCUCACAAAACACCAAAACUCGUGGAACGGUAUUAGGAUAAAACAAUAAUGAUUACCGUUUUUAGAGGAUUAGGUGUUGUGGUGGUUUCAAAGUAUUUUUAAGACAGCAGU